GCCGAAAUAGCUCAGUUGGGAGAGUGUUAGACUGAAGAUCUGAAGGUCCCUGGUUCGAUCCCGGGUUUCGGCA